rnacentral:rRNA from 1 species
CUGCUGAUGUGUAAUCAGCAGGCAACAUCUCUAUCUUGCUAGAAACCCAACUCGGCUACUAGCAGCUCGACUCUCGAGUUCACAGAUCAAAUAGAGGUGGCCUGCUAUAGCAGGUUAAGAAAUGAUCGGACUGGUUUAUAACUAAACUAAGACAAUCGGAACCUGCGGAAGGAUCAUUACAGAGCUUCUAAGCUUAAGGGGGUAAAACCUCUAAGCAAGAACUCCACCCUUUGUUUACAUACCUUUGUUGCUUUAGCAGGCCCGCUCUCGAGCCGCCGGCAGUAGCUGGUCCGCGCCUGCUAGAGGACCUAAAACUCAUGUUAACAAUAUUGUCUGAGUACUAUAAUAAUAGUUAAAACUUUCAACAACGGAUCUCUUGGUUCUGGCAUCGAUGAAGAACGCAGCGAAAUGCGAUAAGUAAUGUGAAUUGCAGAAUUCAGUGAAUCAUCGAAUCUUUGAACGCACAUUGCGCCCUCUGGUAUUCCGGGGGGCAUGCCUGUUCGAGCGUCAUUACAACCCUCAAGCUCUGCUUGGUAUUAGGCUUCACCUGCUACAGGCGAGCCUUAAAAUCAGUGGCGGUGCCUUCUGGCUUCAAGCGUAGUAAUACUUCUCGUUUGGGAGCUCCAGUUGUGUACCUGCUAGAAAACCCCAAUUUUUAAAGGUUGACCUCGGAUCAGGUAGGGAUACCCGCUGAACUUAAGCA